rfam:Haliaeetus albicilla contig22109, whole genome shotgun sequence.
GCAUGUGUUCCUGCAAUUGAUCUCUUUGAUGACAUUCUCAUUCAUAGAAAGAGUUUGAUUUAUGACUUUCGGAAGAAUUGCGUUCAGC